UCAGUGGAUACAAGAUCGUAAGUACAAAGGGGUAUUGAAGAUUAACAGUUUGGGUUGUUCGGGGUUCUCUGUAACGUCUAGAGACCUACCGACUGGGGCAAAAAAAAAAGACUUCGACAAGCAGUCGAAGAGCAUCCGUAUAGAUUUACGGUACAUUGUUGCAGUCGUUUAUAUUCCAGCAAUCAAAAACUGAUAGACUGCUUGACUAU
rnacentral:lncRNA from 1 species